rnacentral:sRNA from 1 species
GUUGGGGGUGGGGCUCUGGUGGACCCAACGUCUAGGGCUGGUCUGCGCAAGAGGCCCCUUGCCUUCCCUGGGGUCUCAGCCCCACCCUGUCCACAUAUUGCCUCUCCCUUCUGCUAGGGUGACCCCUGUGAAGUGUGCCCAACACUGCCUGAAGGGUUCCAGAACUUUGUUGGACUUCCUGGAAAGCCAGGGCCCAAAGGGGAGCCUGGUGAUCCUGUACCAGCCAGGGGAGACCCUGGCAUCCAAGGCAUCAAAGGAGAGAAGGUGAGGGAGCCCUGCUCUCCUGGCUGCCCUCCUCUGCCUACCUGGAAGCAUUUCUGAUCCUUCCUCUUCUUUCCCCAGGGGGAGCCCUGCUUGUCCUGCAGCUCGGUUGUAGGGGCCCAGCAUCUUGUGUCCUCCACAGGGGCCAGUGGAGAUGUGGGUUCCCCUGGCUUUGGUCUGCCUGGCCUUCCGGGUAGAGCUGGGGUUCCAGGGCUGAAAGGAGAGAAGGGUAACUUCGGGGAGGCAGGGCCAGCUGGCAGUCCAGGGACACCAGGACCAGUGGGGCCAGCAGGCAUCAAAGGGGCGAAGGGGGAGCCCUGUGAGCCGUGCCCAGCCCUGUCCAACCUUCAGGAUGGGGAUGUCCGUGUGGUGGCCUUGCCUGGCCCAUCCGGAGAGAA